AAAAGUCAACUCCUUAUAGAAGAGAGUUUUGGCCCAAUAAAUGCUUGUGCACUCCAAGAACAUCACAAAGGAUGAGAAUGAGAUGCAUUCUUGCUCUUCGAUUUCUUAAUAAAUGUAUAAUAUUGACUUUUCUUGGUUCAAAAGUUUGUUUUUAUCUGUUGCAUCUUGAGUAGGAAGAGAUAUUUUUGCUAUCUUG